rnacentral:lncRNA from 1 species
UAAAUUCUGAAUCGGCUUUUGCAAAAAUUUCAUAUUAAGAGCCAGGUAGCACCCAAAUAACUCAAAUUGCCAUGCGUCCUAUCCUCAAUGAAAACAUUCCAGGCCAAGUGUGUCUUUAAGCCAGGAAAGCUAUAAAAAUAAUGAUUAUUUUAAUCUCUAUGUACUUCCUUGGGGUGAAAAAGGGCUGGAACAUUUUGGGUACAUAUUUGUUGAAUGGACUAUAAAAUAAUUAUUGGAUAUUUUCAAGGACAGCAACUAAUAAAUCCUAUGGAAAAGAACAAAGCAGAAGCCAAAAAUAUGCAAAGUAUAAAUGUUCAAAGUUCCAGAAUGUCAACUCACUCCAACUUCUUAAGUGGUGGCAGAAUACGAUUAACAAAGAAACAAAGGUGA